AGCACUACAACAACAAAACAUAAUAGUUUACAACAAUAAACAACACAAAAUAAAACAAAUUAAAUGCACUCAGUUAAUAAGCCGCUUUAAAAGAUGAGUCUUUAAAGAUUUCUUAAAACAGCUAGUCCAAGGUUGGAGAAUCUCUAAUUCCUGAUGGUAGAGCAUUCCACAGUCGUGGAGCUGAAACAGAAAAAGCACCGUCCAUGGAGUUUAAUUUAUAUAUAGGCUGCUGAAGGAUAUGUGACCCAGAAGAGCGAUCACAACACGGGCUGGAGUAAAGAG